rnacentral:rRNA from 1 species
UACGUUCCCGGGCCUUGUACACACCGCCCGUCAAGUCACGAAAGUCGGUAACACCCGAAGCCGGUGGCCCAACCCUUGUGGAGGGAGCCGUCGAAGGUGGGACUGGCGAUUGGGACU